ACCGGCGCGGAGCUGCCCCCCCCCCCCCCCAGGAACACCUGGCUGGGUCCAUGCACAGGUGCUGCCCCUUGACCCACCCCCACCCCGGUUUCCCGGCUGCUGCCAGUGGGGCCGGGAACGGAACACCCCGCAAAGCGAAAGGAUGGGCGACACCGGCGAAACACACCCAGCUCCGCGCCAAGCAGAGCCGCCUCCACCAGGAAAGCGCCAGCCCGGCUCUGCCAGAAACUGUGACCGCACAUCAUGGGCCAUGCACCUAGUGGAGGGGAGGCCUGCCAACGCCGGGCGCCGGACGAUGCUGGAAGGAGCAAGAGCCAGCAGAGAGCACUGAUUGGUGAAUGCAGGGGCCAGAGAGCUGGUCUCAGGGAAGGGAGCUGUGCCUCCCCCAUUCCACCGCUAGGCUCUGAGCUCCCACGGGAAGCGAAAAGUAAUCCAGGGCUAAAAUUUACUGAAGAGUAUCUCAAUCAUGUAUACCUGAACAGCACCUAAAAGGAAACAGGAGUCCUGACAUCCAAGAGUUGGAUGGUGCUUUGUACUGUGACUUACUAUUUCCAUGAGCUAGCCUGGCACUCACAGACGAUAUACAUAAACUCAACAAAUUGAAGAGUCACAGAGGGAAUUCCUAGGAGUAGAAAAAUUUGUGGCAUUCACAUCAAUAUCCCAUCCAACAGCCUCUCCUAACCUCUACAAGAACACUGUUAUUUCCACAACGGGACUCUUAUCCUCGCCAUCCUCAUAGUCCUUGGCUGCCA